GCGGACAUGGCGGAAUUGGCAGACGCAUAAGACUAAGGAUCUUAUGAAGCUACUUCGUGCAGGUUCAAGUCCUGUUGUCCGCACCA
rnacentral:tRNA from 1 species